ensembl:lncRNA
CUACCAGUUAAUAAUUUGAAUUUCAGUGUUCUUGAUUAUAAAAUAUACAGUGAAAUAGUGUGUGUUGGUUGCUCAGUUGUGUUCUGCUCUUUGUGACCUCAUAGACUGUACCCUUCCAGGCUCCUCUGUCCAUGGGACUUCCUAGGCAAGAAUACCGGAGUGAGUUGUCAUUUCCUCCUCCAGGGGAUCUUCCCUACCCAGGUUAUAAAGUCAUUGAAAAUUACCUGCCUUGGCAGAUCAAUCAAAUGUAAAUCAGGGGAUCUCCACUGUGAACCUCCUACAGGUCCUGGUAAACAGCUUUGGAAGAGUAACAGGAAGAAUCUCUUGAUGAAGAAAUUCCCAACUGGGUUCAAGUGAAAAAAAUUUCUUGAAUCUAUUUUGUGAAACAAUUUCAAUUUCUGGGUUUAAUCAUCCUAAAUUAGUCUAUUCAGCAAAGUUUUGGGGCUUCAGAUCACAUAAAUAUGACAAUCUCAUUCCAAAUUUGUGUCUACAUAUUUCAGAGUCAUUUGUAUAAUGAAUCUAUUUGACUUUCCACUUUGAUUAUGAAAUUAACCAGAUAACUCUCAGAUUUCUACCUGCUUAGUAUGAUUGCCAGUCACAAUGAUCUUCUCCUCCUGGCGUUCAUCUGUAAUGUCAUCCUUUCCUACACUAAAUAGUAUUGACCUGUGUAAACAAUAGAAUAUCAUGUAGAAAUGACAUAGAAUACAUUAUAGCUUCUACUUUUUUCUCUUGGAUUAUUCACAGCUUUCAUAUAAUAUUGUUGUUCAGUUGCCAAGUGGUGACCGACUCUUUGUGACCCCAUGGGCUGCAGCACACCGGGCUUCCCUGUCCUUCACCAUUAUAUUUCAUAUAAUGAGGACUCUCAAAUGGCCCUUUAGAGAGACCUAUAUGGUGGGGGUGGGCAAUGACCUCCUGUCAACCUCAGGCAUCAACUGUCAGCAUGUUAGUGAGCCCUCUUGGAGGGGGAUUCUCAGGCCCAGUCAAGUCUUCAAAUGGUAGCAGCCCCAGCUCUCAUCUUGACUGCAAGCUCAUGAGCAAUUUCAAGCCAGAACCACCCAGCUAAGCUAACCCUGAGUCCCUGAGCUACAGAAUUGAAAUAAUAGAUGUUUUUUUGUUUUAAACUUAUAAGUUUGUGGAGUAAUUUAUUAUGCAGCAAUAGAAAAUGAAUAUCACGUAGACAUUUAAAACCCAGUAUUCAGAGAGACAGCGUUUAUAAACUGCUCAGGAUCAGUAAAUGCAAAAAAGUCUCCAUUUUAAUCCCUGUGAUACAGUUUAUUAGGUUUCUGAAACUCCCUGGCCUUUGAAUUGCUCUCCUGUAUUGACUAAUUCUCCACCUUCUGGGUCUUGAUGAGAAACAGAAUUUUCUUUACUCAGAAAAUGCAAGAUACCUACUUUGUCAGUUACUCUGGCAGCUGUUGAACAAGUGUGCUAGACAUGAUUCAUCAGGUGCAGCUGUUCAUCUAGGAUCUUGAAUUAAGGUCUAGUGAUGCAAAAAGGAAGACAGUGAGAGAUAGAGGAAGUGUCCAAUACCCAUAGCAGUAAUGGUGGUAUUGUAAGUUACACCAUCCACUGUGGACCAGCAGCUCUGACAGCAAUGCUCUUCCUCAUUAGACUGGUUUGGUCUAGCCACAGAGAUUCCAUGAACCACCUAAUAAUCCUUAAUAAACUUCUUUUGUGUCUUAAGCAUCAUCUACAGUACGGGUUCUCCUUCAUGGUAGGUAACAAUGGAAAUCAAAAGAGCAUGGGAUACCACAAAAUUGCCAAUAGGAAUUGCCUGAGAAGAAAAGAUGACCUCAUUCUGACCAGUUGACUCUAUCUUCAAAGACACAACUUAAUUGUCAGGGAGAAGCUGAGCCAUGAUAUGGAAAGAAAAAUGUUAAAGGACAUAGUUUAGUUAAAAUAAACCAUUGCAGGUAUGCAUCAGUGAGCCAGGAGUUUGGAAUCCUCGAAUACUAGUGAUUUAUAAAUGAAACAUUCUUUUUGUUCAGUAGUUAUAUAAUUAUAGGGUUUUGUUGUUGAGUUUUAAAAAAUAUUUAUUUACUCCUUUGCCUGUGUGGGGUCUUGGUUGCGACACACGAUCUCUUCAUUGCAUCGUGUGGGAUUUUUUGGUGGCAGCGCAGACCCUCUAGUUGUGGUGUGUGGGCUCUGUAGUUGCAGCACCCUGCAGGCUUAGUUGCUUCACAGUAUGCGGACUCAGUUCUCCAACCAGGUAUCGACCUGUGUCCCCUGCAUAGCAAGAUGGAUUCUUAACCACUGGACCACCUGGGAAG